UUACGGCGAAAUCAGGUUGAAACACGAGUUCCUGUACGAUCACUGAAGUUAAGCAACGUCGAGCCGGGUCAGUACAUAUAUAUGGGUGACCACUUGAGAAUAUUAAGUGCUGUAA